UACGUAGGGUGCGAGCGUUGUCCGGAAUUACUGGGCGUAAAGAGCUCGUAGGUGGUUUGUCGCGUUGUCCGUGAAAACUCACAACUCAAUUGUGGGCGUGCGGGCGAUACGGGCAGACUGGAGUACUGCAGGGGAGACUGGAAUUCCUGGUGUAGCGGUGGAAUGCGCAGAUAUCAGGAGGAACACCGGUGGCGAAGGCGGGUCUCUGGGCAGUAACUGACGCUGAGACGCGAAAGCAUGGGGAGCAAACAGG
rnacentral:rRNA from 1 species